AGUGUUUUUCAGGAUCUUUAGUUCUUUAACUGACUCAUUGUAUCAUCUCAGCUAAUUAAUUUCACCUUUUCUAUGCUUCAGGAUUUCCAUCUGUGAAUGAACUAAUGACACCUACUUACAGGCAGCAUUGUGAAGAUUAAUGAAUUGACAUUAUUGAAGUAUCCUGAGGUGGAAGUCCUGAUAUUUUCUUCCUAACAUCUAAAGGAGACCAGUAAAGUGGAAUUUUAAAGGCUGUCAUUACAAAGCUGAUGUUUGAAGAGAACAGCUGGUUCUGGAGGACUCCUCUUCCAGAGCAAGAACAAGGAUUUCUUUUCUUUGCCUGGAGAAGAUGCUUUCUUUCCAUGAUGACAGCCUGAAGCUACAUAGCCGUAAGAAAGGAACUGUUUGUUAUUUGAUGGUAUUUUCUGAUGUUACCAUGAGAUGUCCUGUGCUCUGGCUACAUGAAGACAUAAAUCAGUGCAGUAAUUGAAGAUCAGUUACUAAAGAAGUUGGUGCUGAGGCUUUGAGGGUGCUGAUCCACACAACAUGUUCUUUGAAGAUUUUUCUACAGAAUAAAUUCACAUCUCCUGAACUGAAUGUCUACAUCCCAGGCAUGGUGUGUAGCUGUCCCAGGAAGCAGCUAUUGGUUCAAAUCCUUAUGGUUAGCACCUGAAAAUGAAAUUCCAGUUCAGUCCUCUAUGGAUAAAAUUUUUCAAAUAAAGGGAUUUUGCUGGGAAAUAAAAAGACUGAAAUAUUUUUUUAAAAUGUUAAAUUUGGAGAAUUAUUUCAACCAAAAGAUAGUAUUAGAUGACAUUAUAACAUAGAAAAAUAUUUUAUUUUAUAGAUGGCAACUGCCAAAAUAUGUUCCAAAAUACUUCACCUUGGGUUGAAAGAUGUAGCUGACCUUCUUUGUUUUGAUUUGGAUGUUUUGUUAAUUUUGAAUUCUUCCAAACAGCCAACAGCUUCUGCUUUGGAUCAAUUUUCCUCUGAUUUCUUUUUCUUUCUAAACCCAAAAUAGGAAAAUUUAUUUAUUCACUUGCUGUUUUUCAUAUGUUUAAUUUCUGAUGUCAGAUCCUAAAUUCUAAUUUUCGACAGGAUAAGGCUGUGUCAAAAUUUUCUGUAAAGCAGUUUUGGUAAGUCAAAGCAUUACAUAAA